UACGUAGGGUGCAAGCGUUGUCCGGAAUUAUUGGGCGUAAAGAGCUCGUAGGCGGUUUGUCGCGUCUGCUGUGAAAACGCGAGGCUCAACCUCGCGCCUGCAGUGGUACGGGCAGACUAGAGUGCGGUAGGGAGAUUGGAAUUCCUGGUGUAGCGGUGGAAUGCGCAGAGUAUCAGGAGGAACACCGAUGGCGAAGGCAGAUCUCUGGGCCGUAACUGACGCUGAGGAGCGAAAGCGUGGGAGCGAACAGG
rnacentral:rRNA from 1 species